CAUCGCUCUUUGUAAAAUUGUUAAUGUAUAAAGAGUCCUGCCUGCCCAGUGACGUUGUUAAACGGCCGCGGUAUCUUGACCGUGCAAAGGUAGCAUAAUCAUUUGCCCUUUAAAUGGGGGCUGGUAUGAAUGGCAAGACGGAGGCUAAGCUGUCUCUUUCUUAUAUCUUGAAUUUAAUAUUUUUGUGAAGAAGCAGAAAUAUGUCCGCAGGACGAGAAGACCCUAUCGAGCUUAAGCACAAAAGGUAUUAACAAAUUUGUCGGGCUUUGUUCCUAAUUUAAUUAAGAUUUAAUUAUCACAAGAUUAAUUACUUUAGCCCAAAAAUGUUAAGUGCAGCUGUUUUGAUUGGGGCAAUCGUGGAGAAGAAAAUCCUCCAUUAGAAAAUAAAAAAAACUACAGUUUUGUUGGUUAAAUUAAGUGAUCCGCCGCAUGGCGAGCAAAGGAAUAAGUUACCGUAGGGAUAACAGCGUAAUUUUUUUGGAGAGUUCAUAUUGAUAAAAAAGUUUGCGACCUCGAUGUUGGAUCGGGAUUUCCUGGGGAUGCAGCAGUUCCCAAGGGUUGGUCUGUUCGACCAUUAAAAUCCUACGUGAUCU
rnacentral:rRNA from 1 species